GUUCAUUAUCCCGGCCAUGGAAUCGGAGGCCGUGUCCCAGCUCCUGGCGCAUGUCAAGCUCCUGCUUCGCCGCCGCGCGGCCGCCAUGGCCGCGCUAGACGCAGGGCUGCCGGCCGAGGCUGUCCGCCAUUUCUCCAAGAUCCUCGAGGCACGCCGCGGUGUGCUGCCGCACCCCUUCGCCGCGGCGUGCCUCGUCGGUCGUGCCGCCGCGUUCCAGGCCGGUGGCCGCCCGGCCGACGCCAUUGCGGACUGCAACCGCGCCCUCGCCCUGGACCCCGCCUACAUCCCAGCGCUUCGUGCCCGCGCC
rnacentral:lncRNA from 1 species